rnacentral:lncRNA from 1 species
AAUGGUUUUUUCCAAUAUUGACAUAAUAGAUUUAUUUUAAUUUUGAAAUCAUUUUAAAUUCAGAUUAAUCAGGUUAGAUGAAUCGAUUAAUCAAUUCCAAGUAUUAAUACAUGUCCAGUCAAAAUCAGACUUACAUUAACAUAGAAAAUAACUUUUUCUAAAAUUGGAAAUUCAAGUUUCAAAACGUAAGUCUGGCUGAAACUUGAACAUCUGCGCCCCCCCCCCCCCUCCCCCCAUGACACCCCCCCCCCCUUCCCAUUUUUGUAGUUCCGCGCCUGCGCGGUGCACCUCGAACUGAGAGGAGACGUGCACGAGCCGCGGUACCGCGCCGUUAUCACAACAGAACCGAGCCGCAGUAUGCGGGCUUCUCUCCCCAGCAGUCCGGCGAGCCCGCCCGCAGCCUGACGGAGCAGCAGUUCGGAGCAGGCCGGAGCCUGGCUGUCCGUCCGCAGGCAUACGCAGAGACAAAGCGGGGCGACGGGAUGAGGCUGCCGCCGCUCGCCGACGGUGCUGCGGCGGAAACUGAGCCCAAUUAAACUGAAUCUAAACGGAGCGCGCGCGACCGCCGACAGCCCCCGAAUCUGAGGUGUUGCUUUGCCGCCGGGGGAGGGGGUGGAGGCAUGGUUAUGUCCUCCGCGUCCCUUCUGCACCUGAAAGACUGAACCCAGGGAGUAAAGAGGCCACGAGCGGAGACAGCAGCCUGGAGCCACAGAGGUUAGCUGGAGCGGCUUCGCUAAGUGAAGAAGACCAGACGAUUCCCAGAUGCUGGACGCAUCCCUCUGUGAUCCAAAGAAUUCCAGGAACUGACUGGAAAAGGUCACAGCAUUUCUGCUGCUUUGGCUCUCCAGAGAACCUUGAUCCUUCUCAGGAGGGACAAAAUCUAUUAAAUGACCUCAAGAGCAUCACCCUCUUUGGGAAAAGAAAGGUCCUAAAAGACCCACAUCCAAAGAGCCACAGGCCUCACCCUCAGCCUCUGUUAGGAUUAAAAUCCAUGACUCCAACAUCUGAAGAUGUUAAAGAAUUAAAAAACUAAAAACUCCACAAAGAACGGGAAGGUUUAUUACAGAUUAAAGUACAAUUUUCCAGAAUUAGUCUGCUCAUUUCAGGGCCCACAAGACACAGCCAUUCAGAAAAAGAUUAACAGUCAGAUAUGGUGGCGGUGGUGUGAUGGUUUGGGGCUGUUUUGCUACUUCAAUACUGUGGUAACUAAACCAUGAAUUCUGCCGUCUACCAAAAAUCCUGAAGGUUUGGGAUCUCAGACUGAAGGUUCGUUGGGUUUUGCAGCAGGACGAGGUUCAGAACCACAGCUACAGGUUCUCCUCUGAAGCUACGUUCACACCACCCAACACACAUUCAAUCAUCCACUUCUAAUGAAAAGUCUCGAAACGCGCAUAAACGCGUAGCUACACAAUGUCUACAACUGUGUUCGGACUACGUACAAAACAUGUGGCCAUUGAGCGCACUUUGACAGUUAAACCAGGUCAAAUUUGACCAAUCGGGGACUCAGAUUUGGUAGUGACGUAUGGAUGGCAUCCUUUUUUAUUAACAGAAGGCUUGAAAAUUGGUCAGGAAGGAGAAAUUCAUAAUUGCAAUUUGUUUCCAUCAGCAUUUCGAUGACACCAAGUCUUUCCUUGCCUGGGGCAAGAUUCAUGAGAUUUGCACCUCUUUGCCAUUUCGCACCCAUGACUGUAGAAGCAACGGACGAAUUGAGGUGUGACCUCACCCAUAGGAGCUGCCUCACUUCCGGCUCUUGCCAACGAGACAGAAUCCUCACCAUUGCUUCCUGAUACGGACGCCGCCAUGUUGGAACCAGUCAACAGUGAUUGGUCGGAGUCGCUCUGAGUCAUUGCAUCUAUGGCAAUUGUGACAGUAGUUGCCAUAGAUACGAUGACUCAGAGCCACUCGGACCAAUCACUGUCGUCUGGUUUCGACAUGGCGGCGCUCAUAUCAGGAAGUAGUGGAGCUUCCUAUUUGGGAACACGAGAAAGGAGGGGCUGAGCUGUCCAUUGUUGUCACAGUCAACGUUCACACCAAGCCUCUGCCAACAGUAGGUAGUGGACAUUUGCUAGAAAACAGUAGAAGAAGAAGGAGCCCCUUCCUGCUUGUCCAGUGUGAACACCAUGCACGUCACAUGCUCGGUGUGAUCAUAGCGUGAGAGCUGAGAGGAAGAGUCCUCAAUCCAGGUUCCUGCCACAUGAAUUUAACAAACUUCUAUCCAUCCUGCAUUCAGCAGUGGCUCAGGUGGGGGUUGAGCAACUGUCGUGUCCUUGGGCAAGACACUUCACCAUCCGUGCCUGCAGUGUGGCUCCACACUGUGUGAAUGCAUAUGAAUGUCCCUGUGAGGGUCAGAGGGGCAGUAGGCGUCCACGCCUUUGUCCGUCUGCCCCAGGGCAGCUGUGGUUACAUCAACAGCUUAGCA